GAGGGACCUUCCCGGGCGGAGGCGCUGCCGCUUCUCCAGCCGGCACGGAAAGUGGCUCCGGCGGCGGCGGGCGGGCGGAGGAAGGAAGUGUGGCCCUCAAUGACCUGGAGAAAGGUGAUGUCUCGAUUCUUGGAAUCCACGACAAAACAGGAAUCAAACUCAAGGAAAUGGAGAAAUGGCCUUUCACACACAAAACAUGAGGAAAAAAAGAUGUUAUUUUGGGAGCACCUGGGGAUUGAAGACCAUUCAGAUAGGGCUGAUGACUUAUUGCUAUGUAUGUGGUAAGAAGGUCAGGCUGGUUUAACUGACCUUUCUGGAGGUGGGAAACCUCCAGGUCUGCAUGUUGCCUUUUUGCAGUCCUGUGUGGAGGGAUUGGUUCACAGAUUAAACAUUAUCAGGUUCUGUGCUUCCCUUUCUGGUUUCACUUCCAUUUAUAUUUAGGCAGGGCUAUGGAAAUGUUGACAGGAAUUGUUAAAAGCAGUGGUGUCAGCUUUUUCUCCUUUAUGUUAGGGACGUUUGGGAGGGAGGAGACAAACCCUGCUACCGAAAGAACCAGAGCAGGACUCUGGAAAAGUUUAAUCCAAUGCCAUCUCCAUCUGACUCUUGAGGAUGCCAAUGCCAUG